AGCUCCAAUAGCGUAUAUUUAAGUUGUUGCAGUUAAAAAGCUUGUAGUUGGACUUAGGGGUGGGUCGGCCGGUCUGCCUCACGGUGAGCACCGGUCUGCUCGUCCCUACUGCCGCGAUGCGCUCCUGGCCUUAAUUGGCCGGGUCAUUCCUCUGGCGCUGUUACUUUGAAGAAAUUAGAGUGCUCAAACCAGGCCUACGCUUGAAUACAUUAGCAUGGGAUAACAUCGUAGGAUUUCGAUCCUAUUGUGUUGGCCUUCGGGAUCGGAGUAAUGAUUAA
rnacentral:ncRNA from 1 species